rnacentral:rRNA from 1 species
UACGGAGGGUGCAAGCGUUAUCCGGAUUCACUGGGUUUAAAGGGUGCGUAGGCGGGCAGAUAAGUCAGUGGUGAAAUCCCCGAGCUUAACUUGGGAACUGCCAUUGAUACUAUUUGUCUUGAAUGUCGUGGAGGUUAGCGGAAUAUGUCAUGUAGCGGUGAAAUGCGUAGAUAUCACUUGGAACGCCAAAGGUGAAAACAGUCUGCUGGGGAUUUGCUGACGCUGAGACACGAAAGCCAGGGGAGCGAACGGG